UACGUAGGGCGCAAGCGUUAUCCGGAAUUAUUGGGCGUAAAGCGUGCGCAGGCGGUUGUGCAAGACAGAUGUGAAAUCCCCGGGCUUAACCUGGGAAUGGCAUUUGUGACUGCACGGCUAGAGUGUGUCAGAGGGGGGUAGAAUUCCACGUGUAGCAGUGAAAUGCGUAGAUAUGUGGAGGAAUACCGAUGGCGAAGGCAGCCCCCUGGGAUAACACUGACGCUCAUGCACGAAACCGUGGGGAGCAAACAGG
rnacentral:rRNA from 1 species